CUUAUAUCCUGAAGGGAGAAACUGAAAACCUGCAGACUCCCUGAAAAAUCAGUCUUCACCUCACCGCUGCUGUCAUCCGUGACCUUCUGAACAUUUGACCUCUCUGAGGUCAGUCACAAAUAAGUGAAACUCCUGGCUGGUGUUUUCUUAUCCUCCCAACACAGAAGAAGGCGAAGCACUCCAUAUGACAGGCUUUUGGUUUGUUCCUGUUUGUACAGUGGGGAAAAGCAAGUACAGCACCCAGAGAUGCAGAAGAGGAAAUGAAAAGAGCAGAACCAGUGUCAUCAGAAGUACAGGAGUGAGUGAGAUCUGAAUCAACACACACACACACACCGGUAGGAUCUCUUGCGUUUGCUAGGAGUGUGUUGAUUAAGGCAUGUGUAAAACUCCAUCACUAAGACUAGAAUGACUGCAGUCUGUAAAGAGUGAAGCAGAAUUCAGAAUAGAAGUGGAACUGAGCUGCAAACAGGACGCAGAAUUGACAUAUAAAAGUAAAUAAUGCACUUCAUUUUUCAAUAUGAAUUACCCAUACACAUUUUAUAUUAUAGAAAAUGUAUACAACAAAAGUAUAUUUCGGAUGUAUUAAUAAAAUGUGAAAGUAGAAUGGUGUGAGCUACA
ensembl:lncRNA